UGCUGGUCCGAUGGUAGUGGGUUCUCAGAACUUGUUAACACUAAAGUUGGUAUACGACACCCCCCACAGCUAAAUUUGACUGGCCCUAA
rnacentral:Y_RNA from 1 species